AAAUAACAUCCUCUAUUUGUUUGUUUUUCUGGCAACAAAUAAUGUGUAAAUAUAUUUUAUGUAUAUAUGUAUAUAUAUAUAUAUUAACAAUAACAUUUUCCUCAUACUUCGAUUUGGUGAUUUUGUUUUGUUUUUUUUUUUGUUUGUUUUUGUUUUGUUUGUUUUUGUUUUUUUGUUUUGUUUUUUUGCUUUUCUCCCACACAAUUCUGUUUUGGGAGACAUCCAGAAGCUGUAACAGGUAAAUAGGCAGGAGUACCACCAGCAGGAAUUAGUACACUCAUUGGAAUUAAAGUUUAUUUGUUGCCAUUUGUCACAGCCUUACUAAAAUCUGCUGCUUAAACUUAUUUCCCUAAAUGAUUUGAAGUGAGUGUAUAUAUGCAUGUAGCGUCUGUCUACCUAUCUGUCUAUCUACCUACCUACCUAUCUAUUUUGUUUGCAUUUAUACAUUGCUUCUGUUAGUUGGCCCUAAAGGGAAGCCAUCCUCUUGCAAUAUUGUGAACUGCAGACUUCUGUGUAUUGCUGCUUAUUAUUUCUAAGGAAGAAGCAGGUAAUCAAACUUUCAGAUACAAAGGUUUUCAGUGAAUAUCUUUUAUCUUUUCCAAGACUGAGGGAAAAUGGUAUGAUGUGUUGUGCUGUCUGUGUUAUCUGGAGUAGAACAUUUAAGGUCAAGUUGCAAAUUAUCUGUGUUAUUGUGUUGAUAAAAUGCUCAUCUUCUGUUGCAGGUUCUUUUCUAAGGAAUUUUGAAACAGAUUAUCUCUUGUGGACAACAAAAUACUACAUGAUCACUCAAAGCCAUUACCUGUGGGGGGGAGGAAAGAUUUGAUAAAGAGAGCUGACAGUCCAGAGAGAUGUCCACAUGAUGGUGAUUGGCUUCUGGGGAAACAAAGAAAUAAAUAAAAGAACACUUGCAAAACACACAAAUAGCAAGGCAUUAUGGAGGAAAAAAAAAUGGAAGACAAGUCAGAGAAACUCCAGGUAAAUAUCUAAGUCCUGCCUUAAAUGUAGAUCAGCUGGAUUUUUGUUCAGGUAUUUACAGGUAAACAAGGUAAAUUAAUAAUAGGGUGGUUUACCUAUCAAUUUCUUUGCUGCAGCAUAUAAAAUAGAGCAUUUGUUUAUGCAAUUCCAGGAACAUUUUGGGGAAGAAAAGCUCCCCUAAUAAUCAUCCUAUGUAUAGUACUGCACAGUUAAUGGGACAAAAAAUACUGUUUUGGGGUGAGAUUUUCUGAAUAGUGUGAUUCCUGCCAGAAAGCUGAUGUUUUAUUUGAUAUACCAAGCGAGAUUAAAUUGGUUAAAAACCAUCAUAAAUAGUGCAGUACAUUUAUUUCCUGUAUUGUGUGGGAACUUACUUUUCUAUGAAUUCAAGCUCUACUGCUGCAUAAAAGAUUAUCAUCCAACUGCAGUAUUGAUGACAUGCAGAUGUAGGCUCUCUAUGAGCUACCAGUAGCCCAAGUAGCCAAGUAGCAAGAAUUUUUACCUCAGACUCAGCCAACCUAUAAUCUAUGCAUAAUUUAUUCUUUUAGUAUCUAUAAACAUCUAACACAUAAUUACUGCAGUGAAACAAAAAGUUGUCCACAGGGUUCUUGUAUUCAACUUUUCUUGGGUCUUCUAGGUUAUCACAGAAUCACAGAAUGGCCAGGGUUGGAAGGGACCUCAAGGAUCACGAAUCUCCAACACCCUGCCACAUGCAUGGCCACCGUUUUGUACAGCUAUGGUAGAGUUACAGAUGAGCAUUAAUCCAUACAUUUAUGCACACCUUCUACUCGAAGGAAAUUUCAAAGGAAACUGAUAAAUCUUAGAGAGGUAACAUUCACAUUUGCAUAUGGUGAGCACUGCAUCUACAUUAGCAAAAAACAGAGUGACUGUUUAUGUGCAGAGAUUAUUGUAAUGACUGCUUUGCUCUCAUGGAGCACAAGGUCUCAUAGAUGGCUGCUGAGCCAUUCUCUCUUUGGUAGCAGGUGUAGAUUGAAGCAAUCAGAGAAAAACUUGGCAUUCUUGUCUGUGAAAUACUCCAGGAAAUACAACUCACUACAUGGUAGCACAGUUGCAAGUUGUUAAUGAUGGAAUCAUGCAUUAAUUUGGUAUGAUACUGCUCUAUGGUGCUCAAAUUGGAGCAAGAAAAGUUGGUAUGCAUUUACAAAGUAGACUGUAAUAUCCCGUGCAGCUGUUUGCAUUUGCUUAAUUUAACAGCAGUGACUUCACAUUAGCAUCACCAUGGUACCAUAAAUGCACUCUAAGAGAAAAUGAUACAGCGUCUUAAAGUCAGAUAAUGCAAGUUAAGUGCUUUGUAUUUCAGGUGUCGUUUUUUUUUGUGGAUUUUUUUUUUUUAAUGGUUAAGAAAUACAUUUUUAUGCAUAAGCUGGACUUUAAGGUCUGAUAUGUUUCUUUUUGGUACAAGUACCAGGAUUUUAUAAAAAUACUGUGCUCCUGUAGACAGAUGGUUUAAACACUAAAUUAAGAGCUUGAACAGAAAUUGCUAACAUAAAAUGUAGAUGCUACGUGGGCAGUUCUGCUUUUGGAGCCUUUACGAGAAUAUCAGAGCUUUUUUGUUCAACAGUAAAAAGGUAAGUAAAUACCCAUCAAGAGAAACACAGUGCUGUUUUAACACAGAUAACGAUCUAAAACGUUGACUAUGGCAUAAACUGUUUUGUACACUUACCUGUGUAACACUGGCACAGAGCUGCUUGCUUCCCUUUUUAAGGGUUUCCUGAAGUCACACAGAAAUGUGUAAACUGAUGUUUUGAGAAUUAUGUAAAACCUGGAUGGACCCUGGGAUAACACAGUGUAUCAAAAGAACAGAAAAAUUGUACUUUGGACAGAACUAUCAGUGCCUGUUAGCCAUCAGCAUAAGAACACAACCUCAGUUGGUGCCACUUUUAAUGAUUAGGAAUAAUACACUGUAAAACAAAAAGUGAAAAAAUUCCAGCGUGAUACUUAUAAACAAAGAACAAAUAGAAAACAAACAAGAGGAUUUAUUUUUUUUUUUUUUACCUUCACUUGUAGUAUUAUUAAUACAACAGAUAAUUUAGUCUGAGGUAAUACCACUAUUAUCUUUUUAGUCCUUCAAGGACUACUUCAUGUAAUGUCCAUUACUAUCACUUAAUUUUUAAAAGCGAGACUUGAUAAGUGAAUCAUGUAAAUCCCUUUUUAGUUAGGGACUUGUGGCUGCAAGAGUAAAAUGAGAACUAAGCCUAUGCAGCAAGAACUACAGAACGUUAAGUGUCUUACAUGGCACAUCAGUAGCCCGUCAGUACUUAAAGUACAGUUAUUAUUAAUUAUUAUUAUUAUGUAAAAAUCAGACAUUUCAACAGAAAACAGACUUUGUUCCACAACAGCCCUUAAGAAAUUUAGAACACUGUUAGCUUGCUUAAAUUAGCUAAACAAAAGAUGAAUUCAGAAGUCCAGAUUUUGGCAUGAGGUAAAACCAUGUGCAUUUAUUUCAACUGCAUUUUAGAAUUAGUAAGCAUAAAAUUAAAUACGUUGACUGCAAUGAAUUCAGUCAUACAAGUGCAAGCUUUCAGCUAUAAUGUAUUUUAUGGCAGUUUAUUUAAAAAAUGUACCAGUAAAUCAUAAAAGAGGGAUCAUGUCCAUUUAACUUUUAUUGAAGUAUACAGGAGGUUUUCUUUAGAAUCAAAUAUGAGCAUGAAUAUAUGGCCAAACGUAAAAUCUAUCAAAUUCAGUGAAAAUUUUCUGACUUUAAAUAGUAGCUGUAAGAAUGACCAAUAUAUAUUCUUUGUUACAACCGCCCUCACUCUACAAGUAAAAAAAAAUAAUAAACAUUCAGUAAACAUUCUUUCCUAAGGUAGUUUUCCCUUAUAUAUCAGUGAUUUAUCCAUUUCUUGUAUACAUAACUUUUUUAAACAUACCAAUCAGUGGUUCUCACAAUUGAAAAAUAAAAGCACAAAAAAGUUUACACUCUUGUACAGGUAAAUAAAAGAUCAUCUUGAAUUAAACUGUAUAUCCGUAAGGGCAUAGUAUAGUUUCAGUUUCAUUGCCUAUUACAUAAUUAGCUUCUUACAUACAAAUAUUGACAUAUUUGGCUUGUGCUUCAAAGCCUCUGUGUCUAG
ensembl:lncRNA